UGGAAUCUAUUGUAUUGUAUUAAUGUCUUAAAACCGAUGAAGCUGCAGAAAUUUGUAAAAUAAUUUGAAUCUGAUGCCACAAACGUGGAAGAAGCGGCGACAUCAUGACACCAGAAUGCGCCAGUCCACUGCCUGGCUGCAGUUCAGUCAGGCAUGCAGCAGAGGGCGAUCACAAGGUAGUCCGCAACCAAUGGCAGUGCCGCAAAAUGGUAAAAAACCAUCGUGGGCUGGACCAGAAAAAAAAAAAAUCACAACAGCUUAAAUUAAUUUUUUUAAAAACACUGUCCAAAGUUUUCCCUUCUUUAAGCGUUGAGUUUAUUCUAGAACUGUCCUCGCCAUCAUUUGUAAAGUGGAAAUACCACAAAAUAUCAUUUCCUAUUAAAUUAUUUUAUUACCAGAACAAACAGCCUUUGAAAAUAUACCCCCAGGACAUGGAAGUGUAAGUACACGUACAAAUUGCAGUAAAAAAAAGGAAGAAAAAAAAAUUCACACAGACAGUGUCAGGGCUGGCAUUACUGUACUGGGAAUAUUAUCAAAGUCACUUUAGUGGCCCGGUUUGACCCCUGACCUUUGGAACAAAGUAAUUAUUAACAACUCAACAAAAAUCCAAAAUUUUUGAAUUUGUUUUUAACAAAUAAAAUGUCAAUAAAGUCUUUUAGUUCAAAUAAAACAACACGGCCAAAGAAGACUGGCAUUCUGCUGCUACAUGCUGAUUGGUUAGUUAAAGGAUGCACAGUUAAACUGUAAAUAUACUUUACUGUAUGAUGGCAUGAAGAGGGGAUAGCAUAUCCCUAAUAUGAUCAUCUCAGGUGCGGAAGCCCCACCCAUCUGCUUCUCAAACCUUUUGUUUGCAAUGACAGCCAAUCAGAAGAAAUGUGUCUUAAAGGGGGAGGAGCGAAAACAAAUCUAAGUUUAAGAUCAGCUUAAUUUAAAGAGGUGGACUUUUCUUACCAAAGUGCUUGAGUCUACUUGAACUCUCCCGAGUCUAAAUUUCUCGAUAAUGUUAACAGAAACAAUGAAGUAGGGUCUUCUUUGUACACACUGUGCACCGUGCUCUACAUGAGUGAUGUGCAGUCUCUCCGCUUGUUUACACCAACAGUAAAAACACCACUUUGUCUCUGAGCCACAAGAGGAAGUAAUAAAAACGAGUCUGGGCUGUCUUCUUCCCUUGUUCUGACCAUGAAAAUGAUUGAUGUCACACACUGACACGCACAAGCUGCUUUUGUUUAGGGUGUGUCAAACACGCUGCACACAAAUUGCCUGUAAUAGUAAUCAUGGCUUGUUUAAUGCUGAGCUGUUCUGCUCAUGUCCAGCUCUGAAUUUUUAUCCUUGGACUCCAGGGUAGCUUUGCAUGAGUCACUGUUCAAAAUAAUCAUCCUUUGCCUUAAACUAGGAGUCGGAGCAGCCUCACAGCCCCAAACACACUAUUUUAGCUUCUCUCCUUCUUCUGAUUGGCUGCUCCUCAUUUAGAACAUGUUUGAAUGGCAUGUGGGUGGAGUUUAUUAGGAUAUCUGCUUUCUAUGACAUCAUAAGGAUCCAGGAGUUUUAAAAGCUGCCUGAAACGGAGUGUUUAGACCUUUUUGUCUGUUAUCCAAAAGUGUGACCAUGUUUAAUAUGGACUUCCACCAGAAAGCUAAAUCUCUAUUAAGCUUUUAGCCUUGCAAAGAGAUGUUUUCAUGCUGCCCAGUGUGAAGUCUUGAAGUUGAGGAAGUCAAAAUGCUCCAUGGUCGUGUUUUAACUCUUAAGAAAAAUACUUCCCACUCAAAAACUGACAUGAAAUCAUCACAAGAGACAAAAACAUGGGUGAAACCUCACUAAACACAUCACAGAGAGGAAUUCUUCUACCAGAGCAGUCAGGCAUGCCAGCACCUGCCUAACCCAGACUACAUGUUAACAGCAGAGUUUGCGGAAUAAUGACACGUUGGACGUCCUGUGUGCUCUGUCUGGGUCCACUGAAUAUGAGCAAGGAAUGGCCUCGAAGAAGGAGAGGCUCGGAGGUGUUAACGGAUGUUGAUGUUCUGCAGUGAAGGCAGCAGACUGACUGUGUCCCUUUAGUCAUACAGCAGACUCAGCGCAUAAAUACACAAAACACUGACAGGAAACAGGACGUGCAUGAGCUAACUGCACACUAACAGAAUAAAACUUUUAAACCCCUGUUAUCCUGGUCCCAGCGACACCUCCAAAACAUUUUGAAUUGUUUUGGGGGUUUUUUUAACUUUAAAUAUGGCUGUUUGAUGUUUUAAGUUUUUUUUUUUUUUGUAUUAAAACAUGCUGACAUCAACCUGCUUUUGUUUAAUGGACUCGUUCUUAUAUAGUGAUUUUCUACUCCAUCUGAACACUUAAAGCACUUUAUACAACAUGCAUUCAAGCAUUACGUACUAAAAUAUUGCAUUUUUUGUUCUUUGCCCAACUGGCUGAAAUCUUUGACUUUUAUAAGCUGUAAAAACUUGAGAUUUUAAGGUAUAUUCAAACUUUAUUGCUUCACUGUGAUGUCGUAGGGUACCAUAAUGACAGGUGUGCUGCAUAGCGCUCUCCAUGCCCUUUUAUAUGAUAUAUUACUCAAUAUGGUUUCUUGAAAUGUCUUUGUAAGGUCACCUUUGAUCUUGGGUGCUAUCAGUGAAGGUCAGGGUCAAAUUCUUAGUCAGCCUAGGUAUUCAUAUCCCCAAAGGCCACAUAUAUUGCUGUGUAUGAAGUCGAUCCAUGAAGAAUUGUGGGUAAUAUCAAUUUCUUACUGAUUUUCACCUAAAUUAAAUCAACUCGAGCUGUUAUUGGUACCAUUGGACUAAAUUGAGCUUGAUAUCUUAAAAACUGUGGAUGCUGGUCUGCUAACAGGGGAAAAUAAACUGGGCUGUGAACAGAGGUCCACCUUUAUUCCACAAUAAUCCUCCUUUUGUAUAAUACCAGCAUAUUCCUCUGGAUAAAAUCCUCAUACAGCACACACAGUUUUCAAAGACUCUUCCUAAUAGGCCGUUACCUGUAAAUUCAUUUACGGUUGUCAAUGCGCUCUAUAAAGUUUUAGGAAACUGGACAAGUGGGGGACAAAAGAAGUGGCAGACUUGAAAUACUAUCUACAGCUGAUGAACAGUAUCUGAAAGUCAUGUUUUUAUGAAAGAGGACAAAAUCCUGCAGAGAACUGAAACAAGACUGAGAGGUGAUCUGAACCAUCUACUGUUCACUGAAGCCUCAUGAAAAUUCUAUCCAUCCAUCAUGCAAUACCCUCGGAAAGCAUUUGAUUGGCAGCAACUUUAUUUUGCAGCAUGAUGACACAAUGAUACACUGCCAGUGCAGUAAAAGCAUAUCUGGAUAGUGCUCCAUUGUGUGUCUUUCUAUCAGUCAUGGAUUGGUUUCCCCAAUCCAUGACUUGGAUUGGGGAAAGUCAUGGAUUGGGCAACAUUUGAGCAGCAUGGGAUCAUUUAAAGGCAGAGACAUCCAAAGAGCUCUGGAUAUCCUUUGAGAAGCCUGAAGAACUAUUCCUGAAUAUACUGACAGAAAUUCCAGAAAGCUGCCUAAAGGCCCCGGUUUACCCACCGUAAUGGUCGCUUGCCACCACAACAUUGUAUCACAGUCACUUCUAUUUAAACCUGCCGUUAAGGCAUAGGAGGCCGCUGAGGUAUUCUCCUGAAGGAUAGGUGUCACCACUCAGAGAAUAAGGGGCCAGGGCUGACCCACUUGACCCAAGAAGUUUUAUUUCCAGUUAUCAGAAUUAAAACUUUAAAUUAAAAACAAAAAGAAACCUAAACAUGUUUUCCUUUUCUACAAAAAAGUAAAAGACAACUUUUUUGUUAUCAGGGAAAUUUUGACCAAUCACAACAAGCCAUUUCACACCUGCCCUACACUUGUUUAAAUCUGAGCAUCAUGUCACAUUCAUAGGUUGGUUAAUAGAGGCUGAAGAAACAGAAGUAUUCUGAACCCAGCAAAUACAUUUAAUACUGAAAGUAGAAAAAGCUACAGAACAACAAAGAAAACAGUUGUUAAAAGUUUCUGUUGAGAUAAGUAUUUACAGCACAGAGCACCGCCCUCUCCCUCUGCUGAUUGGCUCAGUGUAAGCCACCCGGCACUCCCUUUCUUUUACUCCUCCUCUCAAUAUAACAAUAAUCAUUCAGAUAAGAUGAUACUGGAUUAUAGUGUUUAUUAUCCUUUUAGAAAUCUCAUUUGUGUUGUGUGGCAGCUGUCAGACAGAUACGACCACAACAAUGAUGAGUUCCUAGUUACUGACAUUAAGGACCUCAUGAAUCACCUGGACUUGUUCAGCAGAGCUAGAAAAGAUUUUUGCAAAGGUGGUGCCCUGCAGCUCCAUCCUGAUGGUGGUAAUGCAUAUUCAUCACGAAGAAGGUGCGCUACAUCACUGAGGAUGUUGCGCCUCCUUUGUCACCAGUUCGGACUCACAAAGUUGCGUCAUAUUGCGUUGCUGCUGACCUGCAUUGUUACUGCUCGUAUUUACAGACCUGCUGAGAUCUCGGUGUUUGAGUGGAUAGUAGUGAUGUUGGUCUUCAUAAUCCACAGCAAAAAUAACAAUAGCAGUGCUGGUGUUGUUUACUCAGUGCAUACAGGCACGUGUAGCUGCUUCAGGCCCAGCCCAAAUUACUCAAGUCCGUUUAAAAUCAUAUAAAAUCGCUCAUACCAUAUAUUGACCUAAGCUUGUUAGACUUACACAAACUGUUUUUGCCUUAAAUUAGGUAGCCUGAGUACAGCUGGGACAGUCGAAGCUGCCAUUUGUUUCUGCACGUGUAUUAGUGUUUCACUUCAACACGUCGCUUUCCCAUAGUUCACUGUGCUUUAACGUUGCUAAACUGAACUCUCAGAUCACUCUAAUCUUCACUGUGUGCUGACGUAUGUCAGGACAUGAUGUCAUUCAAGGUUAUCGCACUGCUAAGAGAAAUGGGCAGGGUGGUCUGUUUAUUUAAGUGGUUUAACAUUACUGGUUUAGGCAUACAAACACACCUUCCUCUGUUUGAGUCAGUCUACUGUGAUGUCCUGCUGGAUCAGCCUGGCAUUGAACGCCAGCCAAACCUGUGUGUGUGUGUGUGUCUGAAUCACAGCACAGGAGUCUAUUAUGUACUCCUAAAACUCACACAUUCAGAGUAUUGAUUUUAUAACCUUGGUGUUUGUGUGCGAUUAUUCUUUUUUCUUUUGUGCUGAAAGUAUAAAUACUGUGAAACAUUUUAAAAACUUUUAAUGUGAAUUGUUGUGAGUUUUACUUCAGGCUGAAGGGGGCCGACGGGGAGGGACUGAGGUAAAGAACCAGUGUGAUGUGAAAACAAUGGGAAGCUAGUGCAGAGUCUGUGACACUCAGCUAAUGGAGGCAGUUAAGGUGUUUUAAAGCCUGUAGGGCUGAUUGAUGCAAUUUGUGAACCACACUGCUCCUCUAAAACAUAACUCGGUUGAGUAUGAUCGCACAAACAAGAUGCACAAAAUCACUUUCAGGUCAGAGCAAUCCAGUGGCGGUUAUCAUUAUAAUUUCUGCAUAAUUGACAAAGAUAUGAGAGGGAUAAUGUAGAGCUGAAGGUUUGCUCGACAUUUACACCAAGCUGCAGCUUCCAGGGCUGAGAAACUGAGGUGAAAGUGCAAAAACCUGCAGUUUCUUUAUAUAAAAGUAGACGUAGCCACAGGUGAUAUCACGAUUUGUUUUGUUUUUUGUCUCCGCAUUUUAAAGCUUCACACCCACCAUGUUGGUUUUUUUGGAGGCAGAGGUUAAACUAUUUGGAUGGGAAAAUGGAGCUGGAGCACACUGUAGGAUGGUCUGAAACCAAAAUGACACCAACAGAGCAAACACUGUCUGCAUGUCGGGCUGUUUGUUUUUAUGUUGGACUCACUCAGUUCCCGCCGGUUUCCAGGAUCAGUUUCUUGCAGCAAGCCGUAAACAUGUUUAUUUCAGUUGGACAUUUUAAAUUGGGAGUCUGUUAGAACUGGCUUAUCUUUGGAGCGUGUCUCAAGUGGUCAUUACAGGAACUGCAGUUUUUGACUCUUGAGCCUUUGUCUUCAUUUUUCAAUUCUGAAGGUUGCGACUUCAUUUUAGGGGUGAUUUUUGUUUUUAAAUAACUUUCCUCUUCUAACUGUAUUAAAGUGUGUACAUUAUGAGGGGCGUGGCCUCUUUGACUGACAGGUGUAUUCGACACAGGCUAUAGCUACUAGCUGUCUGCUAGGUUUCGCCUCAGCUAAUUGAAGUCCCUAAAUUCUGACCCCUGGAUGUGCUGUGGGUGCCUUUUGGAGCAUUUUAAAAUAGAAUCUGGCAACAACAAAAAAACCCAACCAAACAAACAAGCCAUGACUUCAGACUGUCUAUGGUCCAGUUUUUUCCAUUGACACUGGAGUGUUCUCUGAGUCUGUUAGCAGUAAUUAGUAUGUAUACCUGUGUUUGUAUGGGCUUCAUGGAUGCAUGUCUUUGCUCACCAUCUUCUCCUCCAUAUAUGGUCAUGGAUGGCUCCAGAAAAACACAUCUAAAAGACCCAACUCCAAGCUUCAAACUGGGACUCCACAAAAUACGGGGUGGCUCUGUCCAUCCUCAUUUUACAGUCUGUGGCAGGCUAAGACAGGGAGAGGGAAACUGACCAAGAAUACUGAGAUUUUAUGAGGAGAUUGAGGUCUUGUGCCUCAAAGUACACAUCUUCAUAAGCAACUAGUAGAACAUGUAAUUUUUGUAUCAAAGUGCAGACUUGUACUAGCUGCAGAAGUCUGGUUAAAGCCAGGGAUUACAUGAAAGCAUGGAGAGUUUUACAGUGGACCUGUAGGAAUGGAAAGACGUAGUGUAAGACGUACUUUACACUGUUAACAUUUGUCAGGCUUUGUGUUUGACAUGCUUUUAGGCGACAUUUACUCAAAGUGAAGUGCAAAUAAUUUGGUGGCUGUUACAUAUAUGGGCAAGCUGCCCAACUGAAGUCUGUGCCUUGAAAACUGUCAUUAAUGCUACUUUACAUUCACUUCUUUUUACAUUCUUCUGAGGGAAAUGCUGAACUUUAAAAAGAACUUAUAAGCUUAGGAGUUACAAAACACGUUAACCCGUGGUUUCCAAGCAUUGUGCAUAAAAGAAAGUUUCUUUGAGUUCAUGGUAAAGUAAAACACUUAUCUUUGGAAAACAAACCUUUGAGUUUUAUAGAAGUUUAGAGGAAGGAUUUCCCCCCUCGUCCUAAACAGGUUCAUUUAAAUAACUGCUUGAGAACCAACCACAUCAACUUGUUCACUAUUUCAAAGGGGACACAAAGGUUAAAGAAAGGUGAGAAUGCAGAAGUGAAGCAUCGCUAAUUAAAGGCUAAUUCACUGUUCAUUGGGCUUCUUCUUUAAGAAUUGUUAGACUUUUGUGCAUUCUGUGCAUAUUUCACCCGCCUCUAAAAAAUGUGCAGCUCAAUCAGGAAUCGCUCGCUGCUUCGACAUCAAAGGUCUCUUAUUCUGCUCAGUUUCAGGAGGAUCAGAAGACUGAUCUACAGAAGAUCAAAGCAGCAGGACAUGCCCAAAACACCUCACCUGGGAAGCACUCAGGAGGUAUCCUGAAUAUCACUUCCUGUCACAUGCUUCCAUGAGGUUGCUAUUCUAAUUCCCCACCACACCGAGCUCAUCGAGCUCUGCAGCACAAGACAACCAGUCGACCUGGUGGAGCCGUAGUUAGUGUAGGAGAGUAUGUUGCUCAGGUUUUUCUUUGUCUCGAAGAACUUGACAAAUAAAAAAUUAAGAGAAAUUAGAAGCUUAUAGAUGUUAUAAUUUACUCGUUUAUUUAAGAAAAGCAGUUCCCGCCUCCAAAGAUCAUGAGGAGAAUCGUGAGCAAGUAGAUACGGUCGCCACUAUCAUCUGAAAGUACAGAUUCACAUUCAGGAUAUUUUCAGUUCCAGGUCUCUGGUUUUAUUAUCACCUGAUAAUUUCACUGUUGUCCUGAGCAGAAAACUGCUUCACUCCCACUGUGGUCUGAUUCAAUUACUGGCCAAUUGUACACCCUUGUUAGCCUAAUAACAUAAUAAGUAUUAGACAGAAUCUUUGUCCUCACAUAAAUGAACGAGGAAGGGUCGGCUGCAUUAAAACCAGCUCAUAAAGUGGGUUUUUAUCUGUUAGUCACAAUUACUGUGUGGCUUAAUUUCCUGAUAGGACACAAUUUGUUUCUGUGCUUCUGUGUCGAUGUGACUCUGAAUGCGGAUUCACUGGUAUUACCUCAUGGUCGAUGGUGACAAGGUGGGCAUGAUGAUGAUGCCAGACAUAGUGAAAGUGAUGUGAGAAUGAAAAGGACAUAAAAUCAACAUGUUCCUGGUUAAUUAAAGGAUUGCAGUCAUGAUCAUUUGGACUGGCAGACAGUGCUGAAUAUUAUACUGGAAAUGGCCUUUAAAGUGGGCCUAAUCUGCUUCUUUCUUUUUUUCCCCACUCCAUCAGGUACAUCUGUUCAACGUCUCAUUAACGCAGAUAUCACAUGGCAGCAACUCAAGUGCAUUUAGGCAUGUAGGUCAAGACGACCUGCUGAAGUUCAAACUGAGUAUGAGAAUGAGGAAAAGUGACUUUAAACAUGGCGGGGUUGUCGCUGCCAGAUGGGCUGGUAUUUCAGAAACUGCUGAUUUGCGGUAUUUCCUCACACAAACAUCUGUAGGUUUUAUAGAAGAUGAUCCAAAUAGGAGGAAAUAUCCAUUUCACUGGGUGGAAAUGCCUUGAUGAUGCCAGAUGAUGAAGGAGAAUGGGCAAACUGCUUGAAACUAAUAAGAAGAAAACUGUAAAGCAAAUAACCACCUGUUACAACACUCCCAUCAGCUAAGAACAGAAAAGACUAAUAUGCAAUCAGAUUCACCAGAAUUGGACAACAGAAGAUUGGAAAAGUGUUGGCUGAUCUGAUGAGUCUUGAUUUCGGCUGGACUUUUGGAUGGCAGGGUAGAAGGGCAGAAUUUAGAGCAACCAACAUGAAAGCAUGGAUCCAUCCUGCUUUUUAUCAACAGUUCAGGCUGGUUGUGGUGUGGUUGUACGUGGGAUAUUUUAUUAGCAAAGUUUUGGUCCCUUAGUCACCGCUAAACACUGUUUAAACUCCUCAGCCUUCCUAAGUAUUGUUGCUGUUGUCCAUCUCUGAAUGACCACAGUGGCUCCUUCCAGCAGGAGUGCAUGCCACAAAUGCCACAAAGCUCAAAUGAUCUCAAACUGGUUUCUUGAACAUGACAAUGAGCUCACUGUACUUAAAUGGUCUCCACAGUCAACAGAUCUCAGUCCAAUAGAACACCUUUGGGUGUACCUAAUAAAGUGGCAGAUGAGUGUGAUGCAAUUCUCAUUUUCUCAGUAACAAUGAGAAAUGCUCCGGAGUUACUCAGUUUUCUCCCCACGUUCUGUGUUUAAAUCAGCUGAAAAAUGGACCUAAUAUUUGGAGAAAUUCAGCUCUUAGUGAGGGCUCGAAUGGGCUGUGAAUAAUGAGUAAGAGCAGAGAAAAACUGAGAUGUAAUGCAUAUAUUCGGUCUGAAGAACAUGCCUCACUUUUUCUCUGUAAUGCGCUUCAGUUGAGUUUUUGCCUAUUGUCUCAAAAUAAGCCUACUUACCAUAUCUAAACCAUGCAGUCAUGAAUACUGUAGUGUUUUGCAAAAUUAAGAGUAAGGAUUUUGAGAAGAUUGUGUUUGUAACCAGAGUAACGCUCCCUGCUUCAGAGUCUCAGCAUGUAUCAGACAUGUUUAUUACAAAAUUGAGGUUUAUUGCUGUUUUCAGGCUGUUUACCGAAAGCGUUCACCUUCCAGCAAAGCCACUGCUGAUACGAGAAACGCAUUCUGAGUUUGGUUCGUUGAGCUUCAGCCUCUCAUUUUAUAUCCUAUAAAAAAGAAAAAG